rnacentral:rRNA from 1 species
UGGCGGCGUGCUAACACACGCAAGUCGAACGAGAACGGAUNUUAGUUUACUAAUAUUGUCAGCUAAGUGGCGCACGGGUGAGUAAUAUAUAGUUAACCUGCCUCAAAGAAGGGAAUAAUUGUUGGAAACGACUUGUAAUGCCCUAUAUGCCUUUAUGACAAAAGUCAGCAAGGGAAAUAUUUAUAGCUUUGAGAUGGGACUGUACGGUAUCAGAUAGUUGGUGAGGUAAUGGCUUACCAAGUCUAUGACGCCUAACUGGUUUGAGAGGAUGAUCAGUCACACUGGAACUGAGACACGGUCCAGACUCCUACGGGAGGCAGCAGUGGGGAAUAUUGCACAAUGGAGGGAACUCUGAUGCAGCAACGCCGCGUGGAGGAUGACACAUUUCGGUACGUAAACUCCUUUUAUAUAAGAAGAUAAUGACGGUAUUAUAUGAAUAAGCACCGGCUAACUCCGUGCCAGCAGCCGCGGUAAUACGGGGGGUGCAAGCGUUACUCGGAAUCACUGGGCGUAAAGAGCAUGUAGGCUGGUAGAAAAGUUGGAAGUGAAAUCCUAUGGCUUAACCAUAGAACUGCUUCCAAAACUCUCUACCUAGAAUAUGGGAGAGGUAGAUGGAAUUUCUGAUGUAGGGGUAAAAUCCGUAGAGAUCAGAAGGAAUACCGAUUGCGAAGGCGAUCUACUGGAACAUUAUUGACGCUCAGAUGCGAAAGCGUGGGGAGCAAACAGGAUUAGAUACCCUGGUAGUCCACGCCCUAAACGAUGCACACUAGUUGUUGCCAUACUAGAUAUGGCAGUAAUGCAGUUAACACAUUAAGUGUGCCGCCUGGGGAGUACGGUCGCAAGAUUAAAACUCAAAGGAAUAGACGGGGACCCGCACAAGCGGUGGAGCAUGUGGUUUUAAUUCGACGAUACGCGAAGAACCUUACCUGGCCUUGACAUAGAAAGAACUUAUCAGAGAUGAUUGGUGCUA